rnacentral:rRNA from 1 species
CAACCCCUACCUUUAGUUGCCAGCAUUCAGUUGGGCACUCUAGAGGGACUGCCGGUGAUAAGCCGGAGGAAGGCGGGGAUGACGUCAAGUCCUCAUGGCCCUUAUGGGCUGGGCUACACACGUGCUACAAUGGUAACUACAGUGGGCAGCGACGUCGCGAGGCGAAGCUAAUCUCCAAAAGUUAUCUCAGUUCGGAUUGUUCUCUGCAACUCGAGAGCAUGAAGGUGGAAUCGCUAGUAAUCGUAGAUCAGCAUG